rnacentral:lncRNA from 1 species
AGUCCAAGGAAGCAUACCGUGAAAUUCAUUUGCUCCCAGCCUUUCUGGGAACUCUUCUGGAAUGUCUGCUUAUUGCACAGACAAGAAGGAGGAGGAGGAGGCCUGGGACAAGGACAACAGCAAGGGGGCCAGAGUCCAAAGAAGAGGAGAACCAUUGUGUGGAUGGUGGGGUGGGAGGGCAUGCAAGAAAGGAGGGUGAGGUCAUCGCUGUUAUGAAGAGACUGUUUCCUCCCCAUUUAUGUUUCCCAUUCAAGUGACCACAGGAUAUGUGACCAUUAACAAUGACCUUACUUUUUCAUGGCGCUUUACCCUUUGCAAAGGAUGGUCACAUCCAGAGCCUUGAACACUUGAACACUUGAACACUUGAACACUAAAAUGUUGAGGGACGUCUGGGUGGCUUAGUCAGUGAAGCUUCCGACUCGGGCUCAGGUCAUGAUCUCAUGGUUCAUGGGUUCGAACUCUGUGUUAGACUCUGUGCUGACAGCUUUGGAUUCUGUGUUUCUUCUCUCUCUUCCCCUCCCCCACUCAUGCUCUGUCUCUCAAAAAAAGUGUUAAAAUUUUUAAAUAAAUAAAUAAAUAAAGUGUUGAAGUCA